GUCGAGAAUUUUUCACAAUGGGCGCAAGCCUGAUGGAGCGACGCCGCGUGGGGGAUGAAUGGCUUCGGCCCGUAAACCCCUGUCAUUCGCGAUCAACCCUUGGUGUUUAAGAGAUGCCAAGCUGAUAGUAGCGGAAGAGGAAGGGACGGCUAACUCUGUGCCAGCAGCCGCGGUAAUACAGAGGUCCCGAGCGUUGUUCGGAUUCACUGGGCGUAAAGGGUGCGUAGGUGGUGAGGUAAGUCGGAUGUGAAAUUCUGGAGCUUAACUCCGGAACGGCAUUGGAAACUACCUUGCUGGAGGGUUGGAGGGGGGACUGGAAUUCUCGGUGUAGCAGUGAAAUGCGUAGAUAUCGAGAGGAACACCAGUGGCGAAGGCGAGUCCCUGGACAACACCUGACACUGAGGCACGAAAGCUAGGGGAGCAAACAGGAUUAGAUACCCCAGUAGUCC
rnacentral:rRNA from 1 species